rnacentral:rRNA from 1 species
CGCGCAUCUCAAUUGG